CAGCAGCCACGGGAAUACCAGCACCUCGAGUGGUCAGGAGGUUUAUUGGGCCUAAGGCAUCCGUAGCCGGUUGCAUAAGUUUUCGGUUAAAUCUAUGCGCUUAACGUAUAGGCCGCCGAAAAUACUGUGCAGCUAGGGAGUGGGAGAGGUACACGGUACUCGAUAGGAAGGGGUAAAAUCCUUUGAUCUAUUGAUGACCACCUGUGGCGAAGGCGGUGUACCAGAACACGUUCGACGGUGAGGGAUGAAAGCUGGGGGAGCAAACCGGAUUAGAUACCCCUGUAGUCCCUGUCUCUUAUAC
rnacentral:rRNA from 1 species